rnacentral:rRNA from 1 species
AUUGAACGCUGGCGGCAUGCUUUACACAUGCAAGUCGAACGGUAACAGGCCGCAAGGUGCUGACGAAUGGCGAACGGGUGAGUAAUGCAUCGGAACGUGCCCAGUCGUGGGGGAUAACGCAGCGAAAGCUGCGCUAAUACCGCAUACGAUCUAUGGAUGAAAGCGGGGGACCGAAAGGCCUCGCGCGAUUGGAGCGGCCGAUGUCAGAUUAGGUAGUUGGUGGGGGAAAGGCGCACCAAGCCAAAGAUCUGUAGCUGGUCUGAGAGGACGACCCGCCACACGGGGACUGAGACACGGCCCAGACGCCUACGGGAGGCAGCAGUGGGGAAUUUUGGACAAUGGGCGCAAGCCUGAUCCAGCAAUGCCGCGUGCAGGAAGAAGGCCUGCGGGUUGUAAACUGCUUUUGUACGGAACGAAACGGUCCUGGUUAAUACCUGGGGCUAAUGACGGUACCGUAAGAAUAAGCACCGGCUAACUACGUGCCAGCCGCCGCCGUAAUAC